rnacentral:tRNA from 1 species
GUCCCGUUCGUCUAGAGGUUUAGGACACCGCCCUUUCACGGCGGUAACAGGGUUCGAAUCCCUACGGGAUGCCA